AGAGUUUGAUCAUGGCUCAGGACGAACGCUGGCGGCGUGCCUAAUACAUGCAAGUCGAACGAGAAUCUCUUACACCGAGUGCUUGCACUCACCGUAAGAAAUUCGAGUGGCGGACGGGUGAGUAACACGUGGGUAACCUGCCCAAAAGAAGGGGAUAACAUUUGGAAACAAAUGCUAAUACCGUAUAACCAUGAUGACCGCAUGGUCAUUAUGUAAAAGGUGGUUUUGCUAUCGCUUUUGGAUGGACCCGCGGCGUAUUAACUAGUUGGUAGGGUAACGGCCUACCAAGGUGAUGAUACGUAGCCGAGUUGAGAGACUGAUCGGCCACAAUGGGACUGAGACACGGCCCAUACUCCUACGGGAGGCAGCAGUAGGGAAUCUUCCACAAUGGGCGCAAGCCUGAUGGAGCAACGCCGCGUGAAUGAAGAAGGUCUUCGGAUCGUAAAAUUCUGUUGUUAGAGAAGAAUAUGAGUAAUAGUAACUGAUUAUUCACUGACGGUAUCUAACCAGCAAGUCACGGCUAACUACGUGCCAGCAGCCGCGGUAAUACGUAGGUGGCAAGCGUUGUCCGG
rnacentral:rRNA from 1 species